rnacentral:rRNA from 1 species
GUUGUAUGGUUAAGUGACUAAGCGUACACGGUGGAUGCCUUGGCAGUCAGAGGCGAUGAAGGACGUAUUAACUUGCGAUAAGCCCAGAUUAGGUAGUAAAAACCAUUUGAGUCUGGGAUUUCCGAAUGGGGAAACCCACUAGCAUAAGCUAGUAUCGCUGCGUGAAUACAUAGCGCAGCGAGGCGAACCGGGGGAACUGAAACAUCUAAGUACCCCGAGGAAAAGAAAUCAACCGAGAUUCCGAAAGUAGCGGCGAGCGAAAUUGGACUAGCCCUUAAGCUUUUUAUGCGUCAGGUGAAACUUCUGGAAAGUUGUGCGAUACAGGGUGAUAGCCCCGUAACCGGCAACGCAUUUAAAGUGAAAUCGAGUAGGGCGGGACACGUGAUAUCCUGUCUGAAUAUGGGGGGACCAUCCUCCAAGGCUAAAUACUACUGACUGACCGAUAGUGAACCAGUACCGUGAGGGAAAGGCGAAAAGAACCCCUGUGAGGGGAGUGAAAUAGAACCUGAAACCGUGUACGUACAAGCAGUAGGAGCACCUUCGUGGUGUGACUGCGUACCUUUUGUAUAAUGGGUCAGCGACUUAUAUUCAGUGGCAAGGUUAACCAUCUAGGGGAGCCGUAGGGAAACCGAGUCUUAACUGGGCGUUCAGUCUCUGGAUAUAGACCCGAAACCAGGUGAUCUAGCCAUGGGCAGGUUGAAGGUUGAGUAACAUCAACUGGAGGACCGAACCGACUAAUGUUGAAAAAUUAGCGGAUGACUUGUGGCUAGGGGUGAAAGGCCAAUCAAACCUGGAGAUAGCUGGUUCUCCCCGAAAGCUAUUUAGGUAGCGCCUCGGACGAAUACUACUGGGGGUAGAGCACUGUUAAGGCUAGGGGGUCAUCCCGACUUACCAACCCUUUGCAAACUCCGAAUACCAGUAAGUACUAUCCGGGAGACACACGGCGGGUGCUAACGUCCGUCGUGGAGAGGGAAACAACCCAGACCGCCAGCUAAGGUCCCAAAUUACUACUAAGUGGGAAACGAUGUGGGAAGGCUCAGACAGCCAGGAUGUUGGCUUAGAAGCAGCCAUCAUUUAAAGAAAGCGUAAUAGCUCACUGGUCGAGUCGGCCUGCGCGGAAGAUGUAACGGGGCUAAGUAGUAAACCGAAGCUGCGGCAAUGCACUUUGUGCAUUGGGUAGGGGAGCGUUCUGUAAGCGGUUGAAGGUGUGUGGUAACGCAUGCUGGACGUAUCAGAAGUGCGAAUGCUGACAUGAGUAACGAUAAAGGGGGUGAAAAACCUCCUCGCCGGAAGACCAAGGGUUCCUGUCCAACGUUAAUCGGGGCAGGGUAAGUCGACCCCUAAGGCGAGGCCGAAAGGCGUAGUCGAUGGGAAACGGGUUAAUAUUCCCGUACUUCUUACAAUUGCGAUGGGGGACGGAGAAGGCUAGGUGGGCCUGGCGACGGUUGUCCAGGUUCAAGUGCGUAGGCUGAGAAAUUAGGUAAAUCCGGUUUCUCUUAAGGCUGAGACACGACGUCGAGCUACUACGGUAGUGAAGUCAUUGAUGCCAUGCUUCCAGGAAAAGCCUCUAAGCUUCAGAUUGUAAGGAAUCGUACCCCAAACCGACACAGGUGGUCGGGUAGAGAAUACCAAGGCGCUUGAGAGAACUCGGGUGAAGGAACUAGGCAAAAUGGUACCGUAACUUCGGGAGAAGGUACGCUCUCGACGGUGAAGUCCCUCGCGGAUGGAGCUAUUGAGAGUCGCAGAUACCAGGUGGCUGCAACUGUUUAUUAAAAACACAGCACUGUGCAAAAUCGUAAGAUGACGUAUACGGUGUGACGCCUGCCCGGUGCCGGAAGGUUAAUUGAUGGGGUUAGACUUCGGUCGAAGCUCUUGAUCGAAGCCCCGGUAAACGGCGGCCGUAACUAUAACGGUCCUAAGGUAGCGAAAUUCCUUGUCGGGUAAGUUCCGACCUGCACGAAUGGCGUAAUGAUGGCCACGCUGUCUCCACCCGAGACUCAGUGAAAUUGAAAUCGCUGUGAAGAUGCAGUGUACCCGCGGCUAGACGGAAAGACCCCGUGAACCUUUACUACAGCUUGGCACUGAACAUUGACCCUACAUGUGUAGGAUAGGUGGGAGGCUUUGAAACUAGUACGCCAGUAUUAGUGGAGCCGUCCUUGAAAUACCACCCUUGUAGUGUUGAUGUUCUAACGUUGACCCCUUAUCGGGGUUGCGGACAGUGCCUGGUGGGUAGUUUGACUGGGGCGGUCUCCUCCCAAAGCGUAACGGAGGAGCACGAAGGUGGGCUAAUCACGGUUGGACAUCGUGAGGUUAGUGCAAUGGCAUAAGCCCGCUUGACUGCGAGAAUGACAAUUCGAGCAGGUGCGAAAGCAGGUCAUAGUGAUCCGGUGGUUCUGAAUGGAAGGGCCAUCGCUCAACGGAUAAAAGGUACUCCGGGGAUAACAGGCUGAUACCGCCCAAGAGUUCAUAUCGACGGCGGUGUUUGGCACCUCGAUGUCGGCUCAUCACAUCCUGGGGCUGAAGUCGGUCCCAAGGGUAUGGCUGUUCGCCAUUUAAAGUGGUACGCGAGCUGGGUUUAGAACGUCGUGAGACAGUUCGGUCCCUAUCUGCCGUGGGCGUUGGAAGAUUGAAGGGGGCUGCUCCUAGUACGAGAGGACCGGAGUGGACGAACCUCUGGUGUUCGGGUUGUGUCGCCAGACGCAUUGCCCGGUAGCUAAGUUCGGAAUCGAUAACCGCUGAAAGCAUCUAAGCGGGAAGCGAGCCCUGAGAUGAGUCUUCCCUGAUACUUUAAGUAUCCUGAAGGGUUGUUCGAGACUAGAACGUUGAUAGGCAGGGUGUGUAAGCGUUGUGAGGCGUUGAGCUAACCUGUACUAAUUGCCCGUGAGGCUUAACCAUACAACACCCAAGGGGUUU